rnacentral:rRNA from 1 species
GCAGCCUGCAACUCGGCUGCAUGAAGCUGGAAUCGCUAGUAAUCGCGGAUCAGAAUGCCGCGGUGAAUACGUUCCCGGGUCUUGUACACACCGCCCGUCACACCAUGGGAGCCUGAUAUGCCCGAAGUCAGUGGCCCAACCGAGAGGGGGAGCUGCCGAAGGUGGAGCAGGUGACUGGGGUGAAGUCGUAACAAGGUAGC